rnacentral:rRNA from 1 species
ACCCGCACAAGCAGCGGAGCGUGUGGUUUAAUUCGAUGAUACACGAAAACCUACCCGGGUUUGACAUAUAAGUAGUAGGGAUCUGAAAAGUGACCGACCUUCGGGAGCUUAUACAGGUGCUGCAUGGCUGUCGUCAGCUCGUGCCGUGAGGUGUCCGGUUAAGUCCAGUAACGAGCGCAACCCCCACUGUAUGUUACAAGUGUCAUACGGGAACUGCCGGUAUCAAGCCGGAGGAAGGUGGGAUGACGUCAAGUCAGCAUGGCCUUUAUAUCCGGGGCUACACACACGCUACAAUGGCCAGUACAAUGGGUUUGCAAGACCGCGAGGUGGAGCCAAUCCUCAAAGCUGGUCUCAGUUCAGAUUGUAGGCUGCAACCCGCCUACAUGAAGUCGGAGUUGCUAGUAACCGCAGGCCAGCCAUACUGCGGUGAAUACGUUCUCGGGGAUU